GUCUGACCAGGAGCUUCUCCUCAACAGGUGUCUGUCAGUGAAGGAAACUCUUCAAGUCAGGUGACCUUUCCCCGCCCCGGUGUCCCAGCAGGCAGGCAUGGCAGACGGUCAGCAGCCAGAGGGCCACUGGGCCGCCAAUGGCCAAGAGAAUGGCGAGAAUGGCUACUCCUCGUACAGGUCAGCUUACAGGGAGAAUGGAUACCACGGUGAGGCGGCUGUGCACCCUGGGGCGGCAGUGGAUGACUCAGCCAAUCUGCCUCCCUCCCCUCCCCCCUCUCCAUCCGCUGAGCAGAUCGGGCCUGUGGCACAAGGUACACCACACAUGCACUCACACACACUCAAACCAUCUGGGAUGAGAGUGUGAACAGUGGUGAGAGUGGGAAACUGAAGAGACAAAAACUUUCAGCUGUACAAAUCAUUGUCAACCAAUAGGAAAUUGAAACUUGAAAGAAGACACUGAAUGCAUCAACUCUUUGGGAGUUGGGACAUCUUUCUUGAAGCGUGCCAGCCACUUGCAUGAUGAGAAAAGCUCCUCCUCCUUCUUCUUGGUCCUCCUUGCUUUGUCUCAAUGUUGUUGCCCCUUGCAUGUCGGAUGGUUGUCAUACCACCCUAUAAGGUAUCUGCAGCAUGUGCAGCACUGCC
rnacentral:lncRNA from 1 species